rnacentral:rRNA from 1 species
CCUACGGGAGGCAGCAGUCGGGAAUAUUGCGCAAUGGAGGAAACUCUGACGCAGUGACGCCGCGUGCAGGAAGAAGGUUUUCGGAUUGUAAACUGCUUUAGAUAGGGAAGAAAAAAGACAGUACCUGUAGUAUAAGAUCCGGCUAACUACGUGCCAGCAGCCGCGGUAAUACGUAGGGAGCAAGCGUUAUCCGGAUUUAUUGGGUGUAAAGGGUGCGUAGACGGAGAAGCAAGUUAGUUGUGAAAUCCCCCGGCUUAACUGAGGAACUGCAACUAAAACUACUUCCCUUGAGUACUGGAGAGGAAAGUGGAAUUCCUAGUGUAGCGGUGAAAUGCGUAGAUAUUAGGAGGAACACCAGUGGCGAAGGCGACUUUCUGGACAGUAACUGACGUUGAGGCACGAAAGUGUGGGGAGCAAACAGGAUUAGAUACCCUUGUAGUC